rnacentral:rRNA from 1 species
UACGUAGGGCGCAAGCGUUGUCCGGAAUUAUUGGGCGUAAAGAGCUCGUAGGCGGUCUGUUACGUCCGCUGUGAAAACCCAGGGCUUAACCCUGAGCUUGCAGUGGGUACGGGCAGACUAGAGUGCGGUAGGGGAGACUGGAAUUCCUGGUGUAGCGGUGAAAUGCGCAGAUAUCAGGAGGAACACCGGUGGCGAAGGCGGGUCUCUGGGCCGUAACUGACGCUGAGGAGCGAAAGCAUGGGGAGCGAACAGG